rnacentral:rRNA from 1 species
GUAACGGCGAGUGAAGCGGCAACAGCUCAAAUUUGAAAUCUGGCCCCCCCCCGCGGGGGUCCGAGUUGUAGUUUGCAGAGGAUGCUUUGGGCGAGGCGCCUUCCGAGUGCCCUGGAACGGGACGCCGCAGAGGGUGAGAGCCCCCUACGGUCGGCCGCCGAGCCCGUGUAAAGCUCCCUCGACGAGUCGAGUAGUUUGGGAAUGCUGCUCCAAACGGGAGGUACACCCCUUCUAAAGCUAAAUACCCGCCAGAGACCGAUAGCGCACAAGUAGAGUGAUCGAAAGAUGAAAAGCACUUUGAAAAGAGAGUCAAACAGCACGUGAAAUUGUUGAAAGGGAAGCGCUCGUGGCCAGACUCGGGCCCGGCGGCUCAGCCGUCCCUCGCGGGCGGCGCACUCUGCCGGGCCUGGGCCAGCAUCAGCUCGCGGCGGGGGAGAAAGGCGGCGGGAACGUGGCUCUUCGGAGUGUUAUAGCCCGCCGCCAUGCCCCGCCGCGGGCUGAGGUUCGCGCCCCGCAAGGAUGCUGGCGUAAUGGCCACCAGCGACCCGUCUUGAAACACGGACCAAGGAGUCGUCCUAGCAUGCGAGUGUUCGGGUGCAAAGCCCCUACGCGGAAUGAAAGUGAACGCAGGUGGGAGCCUCCGGGCGCACCACCGACCGAUCCUGAUGUUCUCGGAUGGAUUUGAGUAGGAGCAUGCUGGGCCGGACCCGAAAGAAGGUGAACUAUGCUUGGAUAGGGCAAAGCCAGAGGAAACUCUGGUGGAGGCUCGCAGCGGUUCUGACGUGCAAAUCGAUCGUCAAAUCUGAGCAUGGGGGCGAAAGACUAAUCGAACCUUCUAGUAGCUGGUUUCCGCCGAAGUUUCCCUCAGGAUAGCAGUGUUGAGCUUCAGUUUUAUGAGGUAAAGCGAAUGAUUAGGGACUCGGGGGCGCUGUUUAGCCUUCAUCCAUUCUCAAACUUUAAAUAUGUAAGAAGCCCUCGUUUCUUCGGUG